AUUGAACGCUGGCGGCAGGCCUAACACAUGCAAGUCGAGCGAGCGGCGGACGGGUGAGUAAUGUCUGGGAAACUGCCUGAUGGAGGGGGAUAACUACUGGAAACGGUAGCUAAUACCGCAUACCAUCAGAUGUGCCCAGAUGGGAUUAGCUAGUAGGUGGGGUAACGGCUCACCUCGGCGACGAUCCCUAGCUGUGCUGAGAGGAUGACCAGGCACACUGGAACUAGGACACGGUCCAGACUCCUAAGGGAGGGAGCAAUGGGGAAUAUUUAACAAUGGGCGCAAGCCUGAUGCAGCCAUGCCGCGAGUGUGAAGAAGACCAUCAGGUUGUAAAGCACUUUCAGCGGGGAGGCGUUACCCGCAGAAGAAGCACCGGCUAACUCCGUACCAGCAGCCGCGGUAAUAC
rnacentral:rRNA from 1 species